rnacentral:rRNA from 1 species
GACAGAGGUGGCUAGCGUUAUUCGGUGUCACUGGGCUUAAAGGGUGUGUAGGCGGCAAAGUAAGUGUCUUGUGAAAUCCCCCGGCUUAACCGAGGAAAUGCUUGACAUACUGCUUUGCUUGAGGCAGGUAGGGGUGCAUGGAACUCUUGGUGGAGCGGUGGAAUGCGUAGAUAUCAAGAGGAACGCCAGUGGUGAAGACGGUGCACUGGACCUGUCCUGACGCUGAGACACGAAAGCGUGGGGAU